GGGAAACAAAAAAUUGGGACAAGAUGCCAACCUCUACCUGCAAAAACGCUUGCCUCCUCUAUAUCGCCACUUUCAUUAUCACCGAAAGUUUUAUCAGUUUUGCAGAUUUGUAUAUUCCAGAGGACACAUGUCAUGUUCAUAUUUUAUCCAUGGGACAAAAAGCAAUGCAAGUGUUCGCUGCACUUACCAAAACAAGGUACCUUCUGCGCUUCUUCUUACAAUCCUGCACAUGAAAAUGACAACAGAAGGGAACGGUCAAAACAGUAAACACAAAUUGAUGGAAUCCAUGCCUUUGUAGCAGACCCAAAUUAGAUCCUUUUCAAGACAGAACGAACAUGCACAAAUUCAGCAACCAAAUUUGGGUAAUAGGAUUAGUUGAAAAUUAACAGAGAUAAGAAACAUCAGUUACAAGUAACUCAAUGAACGAACAUCACAUCACGCCACAUCUAUUAUAGUAUUUGUUUUCCAAUAUCCUAUCACAACGUCGAUCAUUGACUAGAUAUAUUCCUAAAGCAUGAUUGAUAUAAACUCCACUAACCUCAGGUUGGGUUGUCCUUGAUUUGACAAACAUGCAACUUCCUUGUUUGCGAUUUUCGUUUAGGAAAUGCUAUAACUAUCUGUUAAAGGAAGCCCCCUUGCUCUUUUUCUUGGCCUUUCCCUGUUGAGGAGUUACAAUCUAACAAGUAAGCACGAGAG
rnacentral:lncRNA from 1 species